rnacentral:rRNA from 1 species
GAUGAACGCUAGCGGCAGGCUUAAUACAUGCAAGUCGAACGGUAACAGGUCUUCGGACGCUGACGAGUGGCGCACGGGUGAGUAAUGCAUCGGAACGUGCCCAUGAGUGGGGGAUAGCCCGGCGAAAGCCGGAUUAAUACCGCAUACGCCCUUAGGGGGAAAGCGGGGGAUCUUCGGACCUCGCGCUAUUGGAGCGGCCGAUGUCGGAUUAGCUAGUAGGUGAGGUAAAGGCUCACCUAGGCGACGAUCCGUAGCUGGUCUGAGAGGAUGAUCAGCCACACUGGGACUGAGACACGGCCCAGACUCCUACGGGAGGCAGCAGUGGGGAAUUUUGGACAAUGGGCGCAAGCCUGAUCCAGCCAUGCCGCGUGAGUGAAGAAGGCCUCGGUUGUAAGUAC